UAGCAUCUUGAUGUCCUCCCUGUCCAUGUUAGCUUCCUUCCCAGUAUACCUCCACGGUUUUGAGCCAGCAGCACAGUAAUGGGCCACCUUCACUUUUUCCACCUCCACGUUCUCAGGAUGGCGCCAUAACAUGGCUAAAACUAGGUUGUAAACCAGAGGAAGUGGCUUGUAAGUCUUCUCGAAGAACAUGUUCAAGAAAUCUUGCUCUGCAAAGGGUGUCGGAGGGGUGAUCUUGAGAGCGUGAAGAAGAUUGUCGUAGGUCAAACGACUAGGCUCGAAGACAAACAUUCCAGCGUUGAAGUACAAGGGAGGAGGAGAGCCCAUGUCUGCUGGCCAUGGGACUCUAUCAGGGCACUGCUGGCAGUACCCAAUUUUGUGUUGAAGGGAAUAGCUCCAUGUUUUCUCACAGAAGCAAUCCAUAGUUGCGUAGAAGUAGCCAUCUGGAGUGUCGAAAAGAUGGUCUAUAUUCUCAAACACUUGGAUAUCCGCAUCCAAAUACAUCAUUUUGCUGUAUUCCUCAAAAUUCCAGAUUCUGAGCUUGGAAUAGUUGAUAACAUAGUAAGCCAUGGCAAAUUGAAUCUGGUUUUCAGGUGGAUAAAUGGGCUCAAUCUCACGCACUAUGCAGCCUUGAGACUUCAGGAUUUGACGAUGCUCCUCAGGGACAUCAGCCAAGAUUGCAACCACAAGAGGGUAUGCACUCUUCACCUUGCGUAAACCUUUAGCCAAACCAACCACUCCUUUGAUAUAGUCCCCAUUGCCAGCUAAAAAAGUCACAAAGGCCCUCCUGGAGUAGCCUGUGUUGAGGGUGGUCGAGACCUUGCCUGAACCUGAAAACACGUCUACAGGCACUUCUGGGGCCAUAGUUAGAUAGGUUAUUGUGAGUUCAAUGGAGGAUUUUUGAGGCAGAAGCUAAGAGGAAUUUUUGGGAAAGUAAAAACUAGCAACACUAAAGGAUGCCAACCC
rnacentral:misc_RNA from 1 species